CCCCCUCGUUCAGCGUCGGGCCAGCAAGCGGCGAGCGGCGCGGCUGAAUCCUCUCCGGUGAUUGUCCCGCCAGCAGUGACAAUCCUCCUACGGGCGUUCCGUGAUGGGCCUGCAGUCAGCGAGCGGCGCGGCUGAUUCCUCUCCGGCGAUUGUCCGGCCAACCGUGCCAGUACUCGUCUGAGCGUUCCCCAGCGACGUCGUGCUGGAUCUAGGUCCCCAGAUUGAGCUAGAUUUGCAAAGCAAAUAAAGGAGGGGACAAGGUCGUGGCUAAUUGGGUUGUCUCCUCUAAGAUCAGCACAUCCUUUGAAGGAAGUAGGAGAGGGAACGAACUAGUGGCAUCUUGUCAGCAGAUGCAGAUUUUGGCCUUGAAGAAAUUGGGGAGGUUGCUUGGUGGCAAGAUUUCUGCAAGUUAUUAGGACUAACAGUAGUGCAUUGUUUGGAACUGGGCAGAGUUUUCUUUUUUAGGGGCAGAGUUCUGUUGAGCAGGGUUCUAAUUCUAUUACUUGUUUGCUUUACUUGCCUUUUGGCAGAAUUGCGUUGAGCAGAGUGUGAUGUUGUUUUGUUUACCCAAAUAGGGCGUUUGCUGCUACAAUAUCAAACAGGG